rnacentral:tRNA from 1 species
GCCGGCGUAGCUCAAUCGGCAGAGCAACCGCCUUGUAAGCGGUAGGUUAGGGGUUCAAGUCCCCUCGCCGGCUCCA